ACGAACGCUGGCGGCAUGCCUAACACAUGCAAGUCGAACGAGACCUUCGGGUCUAGUGGCGCACGGGUGCGUAACGCGGGGGAAUCUACCCUCAGGUUCGGAAUAACUCAGAGAAAUUUGAGCUAAUACCGGAUGAUGACGUAAGUCCAAAGAUUUAUCGCCUGAGGAUGAGCCCGCGUAGGAUUAGGUAGUUGGUGAGGUAAAGGCUCACCAAGCCGACGAUCCUUAGCUGGUCUGAGAGGAUGAUCAGCCACACUGGAACUGAGACACGGCCCAGACUCCUACGGGAGGCAGCAGUGGGGAAUAUUGGACAAUGGGCGAAAGCCUGAUCCAGCAAUGCCGCGUGAGUGAUGAAGGCCUUAGGGUUGUAAAGCUCUUUUACCCGGGAUGAUAAUGACAGUACCGGGAGAAUAAGCUCCGGCUAACUCCGUG
rnacentral:rRNA from 1 species